rnacentral:rRNA from 1 species
GAUGAACGCUAGCGGCAGGCUUAAUACAUGCAAGUCGAGGGGCAGCAGGACUGUAGCAAUACCGUUGCUGGCGACCGGCAAACGGGUGCGGAACACAUACGCAACCUACCCAAAACUGGGGGAUAGCCCGGGGAAACCCGGAUUAAUACCUCGUAACCUUUUUAAGUGGCAUCACUUGAUAAGUAUAGCUCCGGCGGUUUUGGAUGGGCGUGCGCCUGAUUAGGUAGUUGGUGCGGGUAACGGCCCACCAAGCCUGCGAUCAGUAACUGGUGUGAGAGCACGACCAGUCACACGGGAACUGAGACACGGGCCCGACUCCUACGGGAGGCAGCAGUAAGGAAUAUUGGUCAAUGGACGCAAGUCUGAACCAGCCAUGCCGCGUGAAGGAUGAAGGUCCUCUGGAUUGUAAACUUCUUUUAUGGGGGACGAAACCCGGAUAUUCUUAUCCGAUUGACGGUACCUCAGGAAUAAGCACCGGCUAACUCCGUG